rnacentral:rRNA from 1 species
GCUCCAAUAGCGUAUAUUAAAGUUGUUGCAGUUAAAAAGCUCGUAGUUGAAUUUCUGGGUAUCUAACUUUCGGUCCGGUGGCUUAGUCCACUGUGUACUGUUAAUGUUGUAUCCAUCUUAGUAGUGAUUGUAGCUGGCAUUUAUUUGUUGGUUGCAGGAGCUGCUUCGUUUACUGUGAAAAAAUUAGAGUGUUUAAAGCA